rnacentral:rRNA from 1 species
GAUGAACGCUGGCGGCGUGCCUAAUACAUGCAAGUCGAGCGAACGGACGAGAAGCUUGCUUUUCUGAUGUUAGCGGCGGACGGGUGAGUAACACGUGGAUAACCUACCUAUAAGACUGGGAUAACUUCGGGAAACCGGAGCUAAUACCGGAUAAUAUUUUGAACCGCAUGGUUCAAAAGUGAAAGACGGCCUUGCUGUCACUUAUAGAUGGAUCCGCGCUGCAUUAGCUAGUUGGUAAGGUAACGGCUUACCAAGGCAACGAUGCAUAGCCGACCUGAGAGGGUGAUCGGACACACUGGAACUGAGACACGGUCCAGACUCCUACGGGAGGCAGCAGUAGGGAAUCUUCCGCAAUGGGCGAAAGCCUGACGGAGCAACGCCGCGUGAGUGAUGAAGGUCUUCGGAUCGUAAAACUCUGUUAUUAGGGAAGAACAUAUGUGUAAGUAACUGUGCACAUCUUGACGGUACCUAAUCAGAAAGCCACGGCUAACUACGUG